rnacentral:lncRNA from 1 species
GGAACGGGUUAUGAAAAUGUGUGGUGGGAGUAGGGAGAUUGUUUUUCUUUUUCCAUUUCUCUUUUGACUUUCUCUUCCAAGAGCUGAACUGGAAUUAUCUGGAGCCCAGAACUCCUCAAAAAUGAAUGCCAGCAAGGGCCCAAUUGUGGAAAACUGUGAGGAGCGGGCAUCACUCAGGCAGGCAUUUCCGGGAAAGGUUGGGUGUACACCUUCACAGGAGUCUGAGUGGACUGUGGAAUUCCAAGGCUACAGCCUCAGAAAUAUAUCUGAGACAUUUCUUAAGAAGAAAGAGAACAUGGAAGAAGUGAAGGAGAUAGACAACAGGAGAGACUCAAACUGAAGCUGGAGUUUGGGAAAGAGAGAGCCCCACAGGAGCAGGGAGGGGGCCGGGGCCAAGGUGGUGGAACAGUGUAAUAUUGGGGAAAGCGCUUUUGCCUGAGUGUCAGAAGACCUUGUCCAGCCCCUACUGCAAACUCUGCAAGACCACGAGCAUCUCCUGACCCUUGCUGUCCUCAUCCCCAAAAUACAGAGGCUGCUCCCUGACCUGCUCAAAUGGCUGUUAGUCCAUGGAGAUUCUGGAGUGAUAGCAUCAUGUAAUGGUCUAAACAAAGAAAAGGAAGCAUUUUGGACAUCAUUGUUAUUAUUUGUGAAGGAUGGUAAAUCUUCAUCUUUGGCCUUGGGAGAAUCACAGCAGAGAGAGCCUGGCCUGGGCCGCCAUAGAGCCCUGAAUGGGCAUCUUGCCCCAAGGCCCUGUCCUAUGGAUCCACUGUCCAGGACAGAUCAGCUCAUAGCAGGAAGGCCAGAGAACCCCAGGCCUGCGGUGGGAAAGGCAGUCCCUCUGAGUUCCAGCAUGAG